ACGCACGCUGGCGGCGUGCUUAACACAUGCAAGUCGAACGGAAAGGCCCUGCUUUUGUGGGGUGCUCGAGUGGCGAACGGGUGAGUAACACGUGAGUAACCUGCCCUUGACUUUGGGAUAACUUCAGGAAACUGGGGCUAAUACCGGAUAGGAGCUCCUGCUGCAUGGUGGGGGUUGGAAAGUUUCGGCGGUUGGGGAUGGACUCGCGGCUUACCAGCUUGUUGGUGGGGUAGUGGCUUACCAAGGCUUUGACGGGUAGCCGGCCUGAGAGGGUGACCGGCCACAUUGGGACUGAGAUACGGCCCAGACUCCUACGGGAGGCAGCAGUGGGGAAUAUUGCACAAUGGGCGGAAGCCUGAUGCAGCAACGCCGCGUGCGGGAUGACGGCCUUCGGGUUGUAAACCGCUUUCGCCUGUGACGAAGCGUGAGUGACGGUAAUGGGUAAAGAAGCACCGGCUAACUACGUG
rnacentral:rRNA from 1 species